CCUACGGGCGGCAGCAGUGAGGAAUAUUGGUCAAUGGUCGGGAGACUGAACCAGCCAAGCCGCGUGAGGGAUGAAGGUACAGAGUAUCGUAAACCUCUUUUGUCAGGGAACAAAGGCGGGGCCGUGUCCCCGGAUGAGUGUACCUGAAGAAAAAGCAUCGGCAAACCCCGUGCAAGCAGCCGCGGUAAUACGGAGGAUGCGAGGGUUUUCCGGAUUUAGUGGGUUAAAAGGGUGCGCAGGCGGUUUGUAAAGUCAGCGUUCAAAGCCCGGGGCUAAACCCCGUCCCGCCGUUGAAACUGGGGGUCUCGAGUGGGAGAGAGGUAUGCGGAAUGCGCGGUGUAGCGGUGAAAGGCAUAGAUAUCACGCAGAACUCCGAUUGCGAAGGCAGCAUGCCGGUUCCACACUGACGCUGAGGCACGAAAGCGUGGGUAUCGAACAGGAUUAGAUACCCGAGUAGUC
rnacentral:rRNA from 1 species